rnacentral:tRNA from 1 species
AGGGGCUUAGGUUAACACGAGACCAAGAGCCUUCAAAGCCCUAAGUGAGGGUGAGAAUCCCCCAGCCCCUG